AUUGAACGCUGGCGGCAUGCCUUACACAUGCAAGUCGAACGGCAGCACGGGAGCAAUCCUGGUGGCGAGUGGCGAACGGGUGAGUAAUGUAUCGGAACGUGCCCAGUCGUGGGGGAUAACGUAGCGAAAGCUACGCUAAUACCGCAUACGAUCUAUGGAUGAAAGCGGGGGAUCGCAAGACCUCGCGCGAUUAGAGCGGCCGAUAUCAGAGUAGGUAGUUGGUGGGGUAAAGGCUCACCAAGCCGACGAUCUGUAGCUGGUCUGAGAGGACGACCAGCCACACUGGGACUGAGACACGGCCCAGACUCCUACGGGAGGCAGCAGUGGGGAAUUUUGGACAAUGGGCGCAAGCCUGAUCCAGCAAUGCCGCGUGCAGGAUGAAGGCCUUCGGGUUGUAAACUGCUUUUGUACGGAACGAAACGGCGAGCUCUAAUACAGUUUGCUAAUGACGGUACCGUAAGAAUAAGCACCGGCUAACUACGUGCCAGCCGCCGCAGUAA
rnacentral:rRNA from 1 species